UUGGGGGGGGUGGUUUUUCAGGUGUAGCGGUGAAAUGCGUAGAGAUCUGAAGGAAUACCGGUGGCGAAGGCGGCCCCCUGGACAGAUACUGACACUCAGAUGCGAAAGCGUGGGGAGCAAACAGGAUUAGAUACCCUGGUAGUCCACGCCGUAAACGAUGUCUACUUGGAGGUUGUGGCCUUGAGCCGUGGCUUUCGGAGCUAACGCGUUAAGUAGACCGCCUGGGGAGUACGGUCGCAAGAUUAAAACUCAAAUGAAUUGACGGGGGCCCGCACAAGCGGUGGAGCAUGUGGUUUAAUUCGAUGCAACGCGAAGAACCUUACCUACUCUUGACAUCUACAGAAGCCAGCGGAGACGCAGGUGUGCCUUCGGGAACUGUAAGACAGGUGCUGCAUGGCUGUCGUCAGCUCGUGUUGUGAAAUGUUGGGUUAAGUCCCGCAACGAGCGCAACCCUUAUCCUUGUUUGCCAGCACUUCGGGUGGGAACUCCAGGGAGACUGCCGGUGAUAAACCGGAGGAAGGUGGGGACGACGUCAAGUCAUCAUGGCCCUUACGAGUAGGGCUACACACGUGCUACAAUGGCGCAUACAGAGGGCGGCCAACUUGCGAAAGUGAGCGAAUCCCAAAAAGUGCGUCGUAGUCCGGAUUGGAGUCUGCAACUCGACUCCAUGAAGUCGGAAUCGCUAGUAAUCGUGGAUCAGAAUGCCACGGUGAAUACGUUCCCGGGCCUUGUACACACCGCCCGUCACACCAUGGGAGUGGGCUGCAAAAGAAGUGGGUAGUUUAACCUUCGGGAGGACGCUCACCACUUUGUGGUUCAUGACUGGGGUGAAGUCGUAACAAGGUAGCCG
rnacentral:rRNA from 1 species